AUUGAACGCUGGCGGCAUGCCUUACACAUGCAAGUCGAACGGUAACAGGUCUUUGGCUGCUGACGAGUGGCGCACGGGUGAGUGAAACAUCUGGAAGUGUCCAGACGAGUGGGAUAUCGCGUCCAAAGAUUUGCUCUUACACCAUACGAUUUAUGGAUGAAAACAGGGGACAGCAUCGCCUCGCGCGCUUGGAGCUGACGAUGGUUGAUUAGGUAGUUGGGGGGAUAAAAGCUUACCAAGCCGACGAUCUGUAUCUGGUGUGAGAGGACGACCAGCCACACUGGGACUGAGACACGGUCCAGACUCCUACGGGAGGCAGCAGUGGGGAAUAUUGGACAAUGGGCGAAAGCCUGAUCCAGCAAUGCCGCGUGCAGGAUGAAGGCCUUCGGGUUGUAAACUGCUUUUGUACGGGACGAAGAGGCUCUGGCUAAUACCUGGGGCACAUGACGGUACCGUAAGAAUAAGCACCGGCUAACUACGUG
rnacentral:rRNA from 1 species